rnacentral:rRNA from 1 species
GACGAACGCCGGCGGCGUGCUUAACACAUGCAAGUCGAACGGAAAGGCCCUGCUUUUGUGGGGUGCUCGAGUGGCGAACGGGUGAGUAACAAGUGAGUAACCUGCCCUUGACUUUGGGAUAACUUCAGGAAACUGGGGCUAAUACCGGAUAGGAGCUCCUGCUGAAUGGUGGGGGUUGGAAAGUUUCGGCGGUUGGGGAUGGACUCGCGGCUUAUCAGCUUGUUGGUGGGGUAGUGGCUUACCAAGGCUUUGACGGGUAGACGGCCUGAGAGGGUGACCGGCCACAGUGGGACUGAGAUACGGCCCGGACUACUACGGGAGGCAGCAGUGGGGAAUAUUGCACAAUGGGCGGAAGCCUUAUGCAGCAACGCCGCGUGCGGGAUGACGGCCUUCGGGUUGUAGUCCGCUUUCGCCUGUGACGAAGCGUGAGUGACGGUAAUGGGUAAAGAAGCACCGGCUAACUACGUG